rnacentral:rRNA from 1 species
GACAGAGGCCCCGAGCGUUUAGGCGGAAUCACUGGGCUUAAAGCGUGUGUAGGCGGGCCCCGUAAGUGUCUUGUGAAAUCCCACGGCUCAACCGUGGAACUGCUGGGCAUACUGCGGGUCUUUGGGCCAACUAGGGGCAACUGGAACAAGCGGUGGAGCGGUGAAAUGCGUAGAUAUCGCUUGGAACGCCGAAGGUGAAAACAGGUUGCUGGGGUUGUGCCGACGCUGAGACACGAAAGCCAGGGGAGCAAACGGGG